rnacentral:rRNA from 1 species
AAUCUUCCGCAAUGGGCGAAAGCCUGACGGAGCGACGCCGCGUGCGGGAUGAAGGCCUUCGGGUUGUAAACCGCUGUCAGUUGGGAGGAAAUCACAUGGGGCUAUCCCCAUGAGUCGACCGAUCUUCAGAGGAAGCGCAGGCUAAGUCCGUGCCAGCAGCCGCGGUAACACGAACUGCGCGAACGUUAUUCGGAAUCACUGGGCUUAAAGAGUUCGUAGGCGGUCUAGUAGGUGAGGUGUGAAAGCCCUCGGCUCAACCGAGGAAUUGCGCUUCAAACCACUAGACUUGAGGGAGGCAGAGGUGAGUGGAACUGACGGUGGAGCGGUGAAAUGCGUUGAUAUUAUCAGGAACACCAGUGGCGAAGGCGACUCACUGGGCCUCUUCUGGCGCUGAGGAACGAAAGCUAGGGGAGCGAACGGGAUUAGAUACCCCGGUAGUCCUAGCUGUA